rnacentral:rRNA from 1 species
GUAACAAGGUUUCCGUAGGUGAACCUGCGGAAGGAUCAUUACAAGUUGACCGCCUGUUGGACUCCGCGGCCCGAUCCUGCUGCCGGAGGCCGACUCCACCCUUGACUACGAGCACCAUUUGUUGUUCCCUCGGCGGGCUCGCACCCGCCGACGGGCACCCACCAAACCCGUUUGCAGUAGACGUACACCUCUGAUCGUGGGCACUUGAAUCUUUACAACUUUCAACAACGGAUCUCUUGGUUCUGGCAUCGAUGAAGAACGCAGCGAAAUGCGAUAAGUAGUGUGAAUUGCAGAAUUCAGUGAAUCAUCGAAUCUUUGAACGCACAUUGCGCCCCUUGGUACUCCAUGGGGCAUGCCUGUUCGAGCGUCAUUACACCCCUCAAGCUCUGCUUGGUGUUGGGCCCCUGUCGGCGCGCCGACUGGCCCCAAAUGCUUCGGCAGCCCCCUCGCCGGGCCUCCCAGCGCAGCAGAGUGCGCGUGGCGAGCCGGAGAGGGCGGCCGCUCCUUCGGAAGAAACCUCCCCAACGUUUGACCUCGGAUCAGGUAGGGAUACCCGCUGAACUUAAGCAUAUCA